rnacentral:tRNA from 1 species
GCGGUGGUGGCGGAAUUGGUAGACGCGCUAGCUUCAGGUGCUAGUGUCCGUUAGGACGUGAGGGUUCAAGUCCCUCCUUCCGCACCA